AGUGAACGCUGGCGGUAGGCCUAACACAUGCAAGUCGAACGGCAGCACAGUAAGAGCUUGCUCUUACGGGUGGCGAGUGGCGGACAGGUGAGGAAUACAUCGGCAUCUACUUUUUCGUGGGGGAUAACGUAGGGAAACAUACGCUAAUACAGCAUACGACCUACGGGUGAAAGCAGAGGAUCUUCGGACCUUGCGCGAUUGAAUGACACGAUGUCGGAUUAGCUAGUUGGCGGGGUAAAGGCCCACCAAGGCGACGAUCCGUAGCUGGUCUGAGAGGAUGACCAGCCACACUGGAACUGAGACACGGUCCAGACUCCUACGGGAGGCAGCAGUGGGGAAUAUUGGACAAUGGGCGCAAGCCUGAUCCAGCCAUGCCGCGUGGAGGAAGAAGGCCUUCGGGUUGUAAAGUCCUUUUGUUGGGAAAGAAAAGCAGUAGGUUAAUACCCCGCUGUUCUGACGGUACCCAAAGAAUAAGCACCGGCUAACUUCGUG
rnacentral:rRNA from 1 species